rnacentral:hammerhead_ribozyme from 1 species
AUCUAGCUGACGAGUCCUAAAUGGGAUGAAACGCGUGUCCUGGAU